rnacentral:rRNA from 1 species
AUUGAACGCUGGCGGCAGGCCUAACACAUGCAAGUCGAACGGUAGCACAGAGAGCUUGCUCUCGGGCGACGAGUGGCGGACGGGUGAGUAACGUCUGGGAAACUGCCCGAUGGAGGGGGAUAACUACUGGAAACGGUAGCUAAUACCGCAUAACGUCGCAAGACCAAAGUGGGGGACCUUCGGGCCUCACACCAUCGGAUGUGCCCAGAUGGGAUUAGCUAGUAGGUGGGGUAAUGGCUCACCUAGGCGACGAUCCCUAGCUGGUCUGAGAGGAUGACCAGCCACACUGGAACUGAGACACGGUCCAGACUCCUACGGGAGGCAGCAGUGGGGAAUAUUGCACAAUGGGCGCAAGCCUGAUGCAGCCAUGCCGCGUGUAUGAAGAAGGCCUUCGGGUUGUAAAGUACUUUCAGCGGGGAGGAAGGCGGUGAAGUUAAUAGCUUCACCGAUUGACGUUACCCGCAGAAGAAGCACCGGCUAACUCCGUGCCAGCAGCAGCCGCAG